GUGGAUUAGAUACCCUGGUAGUCCACGCCGUAAACGAUGAUCACUCGCUGUUAGCGAUACACUGUUAGCGGCUAAGCAAAAGCAUUAAGUGAUCCACCUGGGGAGUACGGCCGCAAGGCUGAAACUCAAAGGAAUUGACGGGGGCCCGCACAAGCGGAGGAACAUGUGGUUUAAUUCGAUGAUACGCGAGGAACCUUACCUGGGCUUAAAUGUAGAGUGCAUUGGUGUGAAAGCAUCAUUUUCUUCGGAACUCUCUGCAAGGUGCUGCACGGCCGUCGUCAGCU
rnacentral:rRNA from 1 species